rnacentral:rRNA from 1 species
CCUACGGGAGGCAGCAGUGAGGAAUAUUGGUCAAUGGACGAGAGUCUGAACCAGCCAAGUAGCGUGAAGGAUGACUGCCCUAUGGGUUGUAAACUUCUUUUAUAUGGGAAUAAAAUGUUCCACGUGUGGGAUUUUGUAUGUACCAUAUGAAUAAGGAUCGGCUAACUCCGUGCCAGCAGCCGCGGUAAUACGGAGGAUACGAGCGUUAUCCGGAUUUAUUGGGUUUAAAGGGAGCGUAGGUGGAUUGUUAAGUCAGUUGUGAAAGUUUGCGGCUAAACCGUAAAAUUGCAGUUGAAACUGGCAGUCUUGAGUACAGUAGAGGUGGGCGGAAUUCGUGGUGUAGCGGUGAAAUGCUUAGAUAUCACGAAGAACUCCGAUUGCGAAGGCAGUUCACUGGACUGCAACUGACACUGAGGCUCGAAAGUGUGGGUAUCAAACAGGAUUAGAUACCCCUGUAGUC